CUUGGCCCCCAGCAAGUACCCCAGACCUUUCAAUAUCACUUGUUAUAUACCCUUUAGCUUUAUCUCAAGUUCCCAGCCUUACCAGAGGCGGAGAUGGCGUACCUAUAGACACAAUAAGUAGCCACUCCCUUGUGUUCCAGAAAACAACAAGCCAAAUAUAAACUUUUGGUUUUAUCUCCUCUACUGUACUUGCCGCAGAAAUAAU